CCUCAGUAACGGCGAGUGAAGCGGCNNCAGCUCAAAUUUGAAAUCUGGCUCUUUCAGAGUCCGAGUUGUAAUUUGUAGAGGAUGCUUCGGAAUGGUCCCAGUCUAAGUUCCUUGGAACAGGACGUCGCAGAGGGUGAGAAUCCCGUAUGUGACUGGGUAACCGGCCCAUGUGAAGCUCCUUCGACGAGUCGAGUUGUUUGGGAAUGCAGCUCUAAAUGGGUGGUAAAUUUCAUCUAAAGCUAAAUAUUGGCCAGAGACCGAUAGCGCACAAGUAGAGUGAUCGAAAGAUGAAAAGCACUUUGGAAAGAGAGUUAAAAAGUACGUGAAAUUGUUGAAAGGGAAGCGUUUGCAACCAGACUUGCCUGCAGUUGAUCAACCGGUGUUCUCACCGGUGCACUCUUCUGCAGACAGGCCAGCAUCAGUUUGGGUGGUUGGAUAAAGGCCGGAGGAAUGUAGCUCCUCUCGGGGAGAACUUAUAGCCUCCGGCGUCAUGCAGCCUGCCCGGACUGAGGACCGCGCUUUUAGCUAGGAUGCUGGCGUAAUGGUUGUAAACGACCCGUCUUGAAACACGGACCAAGGAGUCUAACAUCUAUGCGAGUGUUUGGGUGUCAAACCCGUACGCGUAAUGAAAGUGAACGGAGGUGGGAAGCGCAAGCUGCACCAUCGACCGAUCCUGAUGUCUUCGGAUGGAUUUGAGUAUGAGCAUAGCUGUUGGGACCCGAAAGAUGGUGAACUAUGCCUGAAUAGGGUGAAGCCAGAGGAAACUCUGGUGGAGGCUCGCAGCGGUUCUGACGUGCAAAUCGAUCGUCAAAUUUGGGUAUAGGGGCGAAAGACUAAUCGAACCAUCUAGUAG
rnacentral:rRNA from 1 species